GACGAACGCUGGCGGCGUGCCUAAUACAUGCAAGUCGAACGAACUCUGGUAUUGAUUGGUGCUUGCAUCAUGAUUUACAUUUGAGUGAGUGGCGAACUGGUGAGUAACACGUGGGAAACCUGCCCAGAAGCGGGGGAUAACACCUGGAAACAGAUGCUAAUACCGCAUAACAACUUGGACCGCAUGGUCCGAGCUUGAAAGAUGGCUUCAGCUAUCACUUUUGGAUGGUCCCGCGGCGUAUUAGCUAGAUGGUGGGGUAACGGCUCACCAUGGCAAUGAUACGUAGCCGACCUGAGAGGGUAAUCGGCCACAUUGGGACUGAGACACGGCCCAAACUCCCACGGGAGGCAGCAGUAGGGAAUCUUCCACAAUGGACGAAAGUCUGAUGGAGCAACGCCGCGUGAGUGAAGAAGGGUUUCGGCUCGUAAAACUCUGUUGUUAAAGAAGAACAUAUCUGAGAGUAACUGUUCAGGUAUUGACGGUAUUUAACCAGAAAGCCACGGCUAACUACGUGCCAGCAGCCGCGGUAAUACGUAGGUGGCAAGCGUUGUCCGGAUUUAUUGGGCGUAAAGCGAGCGCAGGCGGUUUUUUAAGUCUGAUGUGAAAGCCUUCGGCUCAACCGAAGAAGUGCAUCGGAAACUGGGAAACUUGAGUGCAGAAGAGGACAGUGGAACUCCAUGUGUAGCGGUGAAAUGCGUAGAUAUAUGGAAGAACACCAGUGGCGAAGGCGGCUGUCUGGUCUGUAACUGACGCUGAGGCUCGAAAGUAUGGGUAGCAAACAGGAUUAGAUACCCUGGUAGUCCAUACCGUAAACGAUGAAUGCUAAGUGUUGGAGGGUUUCCGCCCUUCAGUGCUGCAGCUAACGCAUUAAGCAUUCCGCCUGGGGAGUACGGCCGCAAGGCUGAAACUCAAAGGAAUUGACGGGGGCCCGCACAAGCGGUGGAGCAUGUGGUUUAAUUCGAAGCUACGCGAAGAACCUUACCAGGUCUUGACAUACUAUGCAAAUCUAAGAGAUUAGACGUUCCCUUCGGGGACAUGGAUACAGGUGGUGCAUGGUUGUCGUCAGCUCGUGUCGUGAGAUGUUGGGUUAAGUCCCGCAACGAGCGCAACCCUUAUUAUCAGUUGCCAGCAUUAAGUUGGGCACUCUGGUGAGACUGCCGGUGACAAACCGGAGGAAGGUGGGGAUGACGUCAAAUCAUCAUGCCCCUUAUGACCUGGGCUACACACGUGCUACAAUGGAUGGUACAACGAGUUGCGAACUCGCGAGAGUAAGCUAAUCUCUUAAAGCCAUUCUCAGUUCGGAUUGUAGGCUGCAACUCGCCUACAUGAAGUCGGAAUCGCUAGUAAUCGCGGAUCAGCAUGCCGCGGUGAAUACGUUCCCGGGCCUUGUACACACCGCCCGUCACACCAUGAGAGUUUGUAACACCCAAAGUCGGUGGGGUAACCUUUUAGGAACCAGCCGCCUAAGGUGGGACAGAUGAUUAGGGUG
rnacentral:rRNA from 1 species